AUUGCACGCUGGCGGCAGGCCUAACACAUGCAAGUCGAACGAGUGGCGGACGGGUGAGUAAUGUCUGGGAAACUGCCUGAUGGAGGGGGAUAACUACUGGCAACGGUAGCUAAUUCCGCAUACCAUCAGAUGUGCCCAGAUGGGAUUAGCUAGUUGGUGGGGUAACGGCUCACAAAGGCGACGAUCCCUAGAUGGUCUGAGAGGAUGACCAGCCACACUGGAACUGAGACACGGUCCAGACUCCUACGGUAGGCAGCAGUGGGGAAUAUUGCACAAUGGUCGCAAGCCUGAUGCAGCCAUGCCGCGUGUAUGAAGAAGGCCUUCGGGUUGUAAAGUACUUUCAGCGGGGAGGCGUUACCCGCAGAAGAAGCACCGGCUAACUCCGUGCCAGCAGCCGCGGUAAUUC
rnacentral:rRNA from 1 species